UUGCUUGACAUCCCCAUCUCAGUCCAUGAACUCUUCAGUCAAAAAUCACUAAGGUAUGGGAACUAUGAACUGAAAUGAGAAAGUUCAUUUUAAGACAAACUAGGAAACUUAAAAUUGACUUUAAACUGGCUCCAUUUUUCACAAAGCACUUUUGAAACACUUUUUAAUUAGAAACAUUUUUUGAAAUGUAAAAGUUCUGUUUUGGUUUACUAUAUUAACUUUUUUUUUUUUUUCCCAUAAAAAGGAAACUUAAAACAACUGAUGAAAUAUUUUGGCUUGAAAGUUCUGUUUAUCAUUUUCUUGAGAUGUUCUGGAGCUGAUGAGCUUUAUAUCACCUCACUGGUAUCUGGUUCUAUUCUAAUUCACUUGAAUCCUGGCUCUUGUAGUGUUUUUAACAAGAGUUAACUUUGUGUGUGUGCAUGUGUGUGUAUGUGUGUGUGUGUACUAGCAGCAAAAUUUGCUCUUGGGGAUUUUAGGAAAUGCCUUCCUCAUGCAAAAGGCUGCUGCCUCUUGCCCUUUAGACAACUCUUCACACAUUCCUAUGACAGCUCCUGUAUCCCACACAUGUUUAAAUAAGGCAUAACAUGACACUGGGGGAUAAAGCUGACUGUUUUCUAGGACUUCAGUCUCAAAGUCUUAGAAACAUAACCUUUCAAAUAGAAGUGAUUAAUACAUAAUUUUCAUGCAUAAAUUUUCAUUCAUAAAUAGUAC